AGUAAGGUGUGUGAUCGCGGCUGACCAAGGUCAGGUGAGGAAAGUCCGGGCUUCAAAGGGCAGGAUACCGGAUAACGUCCGGCGGAGGCGACUCCAGGGAAAGUGCAGCAGAGAAUUACCGCCACUGAAAAGUGGUAAGGGUGAAAAGGCAGUGUAAGAGACUACCGCCGCGCUGGUAACAGACGCGGGACAGUGUAAACCCUAUCUGAAGCAAGAUCAGACAGAAAGCUAUGCGGCGGCCCGUCGCGCUUUCGGGUAGAUCGCUUGAGGCCGCAGGUAACUGCGGUCCUAGACAGAUGAUCACACACGACAUAACCCGGCUUACAGCCUUACUC
rnacentral:RNase_P_RNA from 1 species